GCUCUCAGAUGACAUCACCCAGCAGCAGC
rnacentral:piRNA from 1 species